UCGGAUUUAACGUCCCCAUUCUGACCGGACGUGACUGCGAACUUGAUACAUCCCGCACAGCCAAACGGACGCCCCACUUCGUUUUACUGCCGGUCGGGGGAAGACCAAGUGACCAUAUUUCGUUUCCCCAGUCACCCUUGGGGAACUUUAAAUUAGAAACAACAGAAAUCCAUAUAUGUGAUCAAACUGAUCGACAUGUAUCCUCACAACCUGACACUUUUAUACGAUCUCGCGCUCAGUUUCUUCCUUGUAGUUUGGAUAUGAAAACAGGGUUUUUGUGUAAAAGAAAAACCUUUAAAAAAAACCCAGAAAACUACGCAAAACUGAGUCCUCUAAACGUGUUGACAGUCUUUUAAGUUGUGCUUAUUAAUGUGAGUAAUCAUUUAUCCAUGCAUAACCAAGUACUUAUUAAAGACAACACCUGUGCAAUUAAGUAAAACAGUUACUGAAAAAUUAGAAUUUAAACUGGCUGUCAGUUCAUUAAUAACGA
rnacentral:lncRNA from 1 species